ACCUCCUCUUCCUACGCCUCUGUCACAAACCCUACUAGCGAAAAUCCAACACCUCCAACACAAAUCAGUUUUCUUCGUUGCGAUUCCUACACUUCCAUCACAAAUCAGUUUUCUUCAUUGUGAUUAGUGGAAACACUCAAGAUUCCAACGAUUCGGCUUAGUAUUGUUUGUUCGGUCACAAUCUAGACCAGAAACCCUAAUUUCAUGGCGAUGCGGUUUACGAACAAACAGAUCUGUGGAUAGAAUGCCCUAGCCGCCACCUCCAGCAGUCAAGGCUAGGGUUUCGACAAGUUGAUCCUGAGCAAGUCCAGUUUUGAUGGUUGUUUUUUUUUUUCAAAAAGGAUGAACCAUGGCAAGCCUCUUGGUGCAGUUCCCACACGUCUGAACGACCUUGCAACUUUAGUUGUCGGGACACACGUACCAAAGUUUCGCAACCUUCAUCGCCAACACAGUAUUUGAAGCCACUGAUAACAGUACCAUAGCAUCAACGACAGUGAUUUACAAAAGGUGUUGUGACCCGUUUUCAACCUGAAUCCAUAUUGGCCCUUAAUGAUCCACAGUUAGUUGUUAUCGCAUAUUUCUCGAGCUAAGCUGACCUUUAAACAUAUCGGGGUUUUCGUCAGCCAAAAAACUUUAGCAUUUAGUGGUAGCGCGUGGCUACGGUUGUGCGGUGGCUGAAUCGGGUGGUGAUCGGCGGUUGAUUUAUAGCCGUGAAUGGUGACGUAUAGCUGCCAUUCUGGUCAGUUUUGGGCUGAAGCCUUGAAUACAUUUCGCUUAACGGGUCGUGCCUUGACCAGGUUCAUGUGCGGACACAAGUGAGAAAGAUGCAAUAUUUAACUAUAGGAGGAAGUAUCUACCCACUCAGCAGGGAUGAUGAAGUGUCUUCCAAAUACAAUGUAGAGUACAUUGCUAGAGGUGCUAACUCAGAAUUCAAUUCGAGUAGCGCAGUGGUUACUUCAAAUCCCGGGCGCAACAUGCUAUAUGGGUUGUAUUGACAAGGACAACUAUGGGCUACAAAGGAACACUACACAUUGCCACUGUCGUGCUCUGCCGCCGAUAUCCAUUGAUUUGAACACGCUUCGUUUCUCCAUUGAGUUCAAAAGUUUCGAUCCCUCUGAGGUCAAUGCAACCAGUUCCAGGUGACUCUUGUCUGGUUGCAACGGAAAAUGGAUUCACGGUCGCUGCAUUGUGAUUAUCUCCGCCAGUCCGACGGAUGACGGCCAUAAUUUAACCUAGGGUGGGUGAUCAAAGUGAAUCUAGCCGCAUCAAGCCGCCGUGGUUACGCGAUCUGGAGACGGGUAGGAUUUAAUCCGAGUUUUCGCAUCGCUUGAGGGUGUUAAUGGCGCCAACGGUCGAGAAACGUAUGAUAGCAGUUUCGUCUGAGAAGCAACUGCUGCUGAUAAUAAAAAUUAUGUGGUUACGAAUUCCAAUUCUUCAUCGAAGGUGGAGGUUAUUUGGUCUUAUCUUCCAGAUAUGAUAUCAAGGUGAACAAUCACAUCCUUGCUGAAGAUAAGCAUUUGCCUAUGGAUGAUGACGUGUCUUCCAAAUACAAUGUAGAGUCUAAUAUGGUGCUGUCGGUAAGUCAAAACAUGUUCAGGUUGAAGCAAGUCAUUUUUAGGAUGGUUCAAAAUCGGACGCUUUUAGUACAGAUAAGAGGCGUUCAUAUUUAUUAUUUUAACUUAUUUUUGGGCCUUAUCUAAAUCUUUUGUAGUUGGGAUACAUUCCCUUUGUCCCAAAACUAUUGUCCAUCAAAAAAAAGGACAAUUUAAUAUAUGUAAAAUUAAUAUAAUCAGCUAGACGUAUGUCAAGUUUACCCUUUAAUUCCAUAUGAUACCAAUUGACAAUAGCUGAGACCCGAGGUAAACAAAGCUUUGAAGACUGCCUAUACUGGCAAACUCAUUGGUUCUUGUCUAGAGGCUAAGGUGUACCUUCAACAUUCUGAUGAUGAUAAGCUUGCUAAGAGAUUAAGGAAUAUGUGUGAAGCUAAAAUUGAUGACGACUCAGUGCAUUGCAUAUUCAUAAUAUCUCGGGUAUUAACAUCUAUGUCUUUUAUAAUUUUUUUAGUUUUUUAAUCUAUAUUUUAUUAAAAACCAAAUCGGCCCUGAUGCUAAUAGUUGUAUAUGUGUUUAUAAAUCUUACAUCUUAUGAAUGGGUGCUGGCGAAUUGCCUUUAAAAACAAUAACGUUGGUGAGUUCCACUCAUUUGCAUAUGAAUGGGUCAAUUUGGAUGAUGUUGUAUCUCAAACUGGUCAGAUUAAAAUAUAUAACUAAUAAAGAGAGAAUGGGUCGAUCUUCAACAUAUUAUGUGUUUAUAAAGAGUUUAAAAGAUUGGAUAAAGGUGGGUUGCAAGUCAACCAAGCCCAUUUUAACCCACACUAAAAUUUACCCAUUGAACACCAAUAACCCAACCUUUUCGACACAUCCAUUUUGCAACUUAUAAUUUUUUUUAUUUGUAGUCUGUUUAACAAACUCUCUCUAAAAGAAUAAUUAAUUCAGGGCCAUUAUUGUUUUGGGUUAACCAGAAGCCUUUCUGACUUGAACAUCGGUUAGUCAGUUUCCCAACCUAUAUGCCUCGCCCCUGUUUACGACUAAUAAUCUUUUCUAUUUGUCAUUCAUUUCCUAUUUCUCUUUGAAAAAAGGUGGUUUCGUUUAUGUUCAUAAGUCUGAUUGACAAAUAUUGUACAACUGGGUGUGUAAACCUUCAAUUCCGGGUAUUGCCUACCAAAAGUAACUCAAACGUGGACUUUAAUUGAUUUGCGAGAGUGCAUUCUCACACUAGGUGCAUAAACCACAUUAGUAGGAUGUCUUGAUGUUGGAUGGAUGAAGGAUAAUGUUGUAAGACGCAUCCGUAGGUUUUCUUGGGGUAUAUAAGUCACCAUUGUCGUGCUCUUAAUUAAUAAUAAACUUGUGUUCUCUGUUAUUGCAUGGAGUAGCGAAUAGCAAAUUCACCAUUGAUUGUUUAAAAAUUUAGCAAGUGGGCUGUUGUGUAGUAAAAAAAAGCACAUGAGUAUGAGUAUGUUGUAAUGAUCCUCAGUAUUGUUUAUCGUUUUUGAAAAGGAAAAAAGACAACCAAAAGAAUAUAUAUACACAAGUUGGUAGGAUGUUACACUUUUAAGAUGAAAAAGAUCAUUGAAGCCUUCCUUUACAAAAAGCCUUCCUUGGUACAACUCAGUCAAUAUUCGUACGAUUUCCAUGCUAUUUAUUGGGUCUGGAGAUCGGGACAAACAACACCUGUCUUUGCAUACUAUGUAAUGGAACAUGGCACCAUGGAAGAAAAGAUUUAUAAGCGUCAGGUAAAUCCUAUCUAUGUAGAGUUUUUAAUAUCAACCCAUUCACAUAUGAAAAUUGAAUUGGUUGUUUCAGGUUAUGCUGUAUCGUUUACGGGUCAAAUAUGUAAAUAAAAACAAUUAGCUUAAGGGGAGAAAUUUGCUUGAAGUGUAUUUCAAAUACAUCAAACAACCUAUUCAUGUUAACGAAGUUCUAGAUAUUGAAUAUGAUGAUUUUAAAUAUAUCCAUUUAAACAAUUAUCCUUUUAAGUUUUGAUACUGGGAGUUUUAAUAAAAUAAGAAUGAUUUUGAAUUUAAUAGUAGGAAGCCAAAAGGAUUAAAGGCCAUCAAGCUAACUCAUUAGGUUUGGGUAUUAUAUUAUAAACAUCUUAGAUGGGCCCUUACCAUGAGAUUAAAAGUAUUAUAUUAUGAAUAUAUGGGUCAUGACAGGUAACCUUUUGGUACACGUUAGGUUGACAUGAAAAAUUUUGUGUCCAUAUUUGUAUAUUAUUUUUCACUAUUACUUUUUUAUAAUAUUAAUCUUUUGACUUUUCGAAGUCUAAUCCUUAUCUUUUUUUAGAAAGGCAAAAUAUGAGGGUAUCUGUAUGCAUACUUAUGUCCAACUAAACAUAUAUAUUGAUUUGACACAUUAAUUUAUAAGUUGAAGACUUGAGUGGAUGCAAGAUGGAUUGAGACAAAUAAUUCUGGAUCAAGGAACAAAUUGAUAAAGAAAGAGGUAAGGUUUUGACCUUUUAGCAUACAUGUCAUCUAAAGUGGUUGGGUUCCAAGCAUCAGUUCAACUCGGGUCUCUCAAUGAUGUGGAAGGCAAGUAAUAAAUGUGCUAUCCUCAAGUCUUAAUUUCAAGAUUAGCCGGCAUGUCUGUUAAUGAUGCAUACAUGUAUAUGUGUAAUCUUUUUAGCCACUUAAGAUCUCAACUAUUUUUGCAUGAUCUCUUAUUUUUUGUUUACUUAAUAGUUUAUUACUGUAACUUACUUUCAAAUUUUCAUACGAAGCAUGUCGCUUUUAUCAUAAAUUUUGUGGCGAAAUAUUGAUAACUACACCGUGCUUAUAGUUUUUUGGUUC
rnacentral:lncRNA from 1 species